rnacentral:misc_RNA from 2 species
AACGCACCUUGCGCUCCCUGGUAUUCCGGGGAGCACACCUGUUCGAGUGUCAUGGAACUCUCAAACAAGAUAGAUUUGUUUCUAUCUCUGUUUGGAUUUGGACUUUGCUGCGUCAAUGCAGCUGGUCUGAAAUGUAUUAGCUGAUCCUAGUGAAGGGUCUGGUUCUACUCGGCAUGAUAAUUAUCUUAUGUUGAGGACGGUCUCAGGACUGGCCAGAUUUUUCUGUGGGUUGCUUCUAAUUGUCUUUGGACAAAUUAUCUAGUAUUUGACCUCGAAUCAGGUGGGACUACCCGCUGAACUUAA